GGCAGUAUACUCGUUGCUUCCGUUAAUAGAGAAGGUAGUGAUAACUGUACUGCAAUUCUACAAGUAUUUUUGAAUCGUCAUGAUACGCAUCUGAAAUGUCAAUCCUUGGGAACCUCAAGCAAUCAAACAAUGUUACUACCACUAAAGUACUAAAUAUUGACUAACUUCAUAUCCUUCAUUUAUUAUCCUGCCUAUGUUAUAAGACUCCAGUUCAUUGUAAUCGUCAUAUUACUGUUUGAUUGCCUGCUAAAAGAAAGACCAGAAGAAGCGUACUCCAUGUUCAGCAACGAAACGUUUCUUAUUUAUUUCCGAGAACUAUGAUUAUUAUUAUUAAUAUUAUUGUUACAAACUUGCAUAAUCUUACCCAUCUAAGUUGAGUGGAUUUAAAAAUUAGAAUUUUCCUCAACCUCAUACGGGAAUUCUAAUACAUCGGUUAGGUGCAAACGAAAAAGGUCGCCGAAAAGACACGUGAAAUAUUAUUUUUUAUAUAUAAAGCAGAAAAACUAGAAUUCUUAAAAUAAAAAAUUAGCUAUACACAUAUAUACUUUAUCUUCUAGGAGAAAUAUCUAAACAACACGAAAAGAAACCACGCGCAAACCAGAAAAAAACAUGCGGGUAGGUGUUGUGUACACGAACGGUAAUUCAGAAGUGAAAACAAACCAUAUUAGAAAGUCAACUGAGAAAAGAUUUAAAAAUUAAUAAUAUAAUACAUUUUAAGCUUUCCAUUAAGAAAGCAACAGAGACAAUGAAAUCAGACUCCAUUUUUCGGAUUAAUGACAAAUACGUUCACACCCAGCGCAGAGUAAAAACCAACCCUGCAAGGCAAUAUUGGCAACCAUAAAAUAUUUGUGAAUAAAAUUGUUUUUUUUUUCGAGGACAGGUGAUAAAUGACGAAAACAAAUACAUGAAUUCUAACGCAUAA